AAUCCGUCGACUUUUAAAAUCGUGAGGGUUCAAGUCCCUCUAUCCCCAAAAAG
rnacentral:tRNA from 8 species